ACAGCUUUGGACAAAAGUCUAUAGCCAGAGCAUUCGUAAUUCCCCAUGCACAAGAGCUGACUGUGUCUCUGGGAAGACAUUUUACUCGUUUGCUUUCUUAUUUCCUAGAGUUUUCUAGUCCUGCUUUCAGGUGUUUGCUACCUAUUAAAAUCUCACCUGCCCGGGGCACUGUACUUGAGAAAAUUCUGCAACCUGUCAGAUGGUGUAGGUCUCAUAAAGACAGCUCU